GUCUAGCGGUACAGGAAUUAGCUUGCUAAUUUGCUGACGAGCGGCGGACGGGUGAGUAAUGCCUAGGGAACUGCCCAGUCGAGGGGGAUAACAGUUGGAAACGACUGCUAAUACCGCAUACGCCCUACGGGGGAAAAGAGGGGACCUUCGGGCCUUCUGCGAUUGGAUGUACCUAGGUGGGAUUAGCUAGUUGGUGAGGUAAUGGCUCACCAAGGCGACGAUCCCUAGCUGUUCUGAGAGGAUGAUCAGCCACACUGGGACUGAGACACGGCCCAGACUCCUACGGGAGGCAGCAGUGGGGAAUAUUGCACAAUGGGCGCAAGCCUGAUGCAGCCAUGCCGCGUGUGUGAAGAAGGCCUUCGGGUUGUAAAGCACUUUCAGCGAGGAGGAAAAGCUUAGCGUUAAUAGCGUUU
rnacentral:rRNA from 1 species